UGCUCCUCCUCCUCUUCCAAGCCGCAGCCCGCACCGAGCAGCCUCUGGCUGUGGGAGGCGGAGUCCUUCCGGGGUCACGACGCAAAGGAAAGAAAGUGGAGAGACCACGUGGAGAGACCAGGAGGAUUUGCCAGGAGGUCUGAGUAAGAGAGCAGACACGAGGACACAAAUGGAGCAGAUCAAGCCCGGGAAGGCCUCAAACUGAAGGACCUGUGGCUGGGAGCCAAUGCCCAGAGAAGAAACCGUGAUUUCAUGUCCUACCCUGCCCCUAGGACUAGAGGUAGACUCUCGGCAUACCAGUGCGUGAUGGCAGGACAGGUGUGGAGGCAUCGGAACCGUAGCUCAAGCUCACAUCCUGAAAGCACACAGCGGCGGCCCAAUGCUGAGGGCGGGUGGCUUUUGGGACCUCAACCCGUUCCAGAGGCCUUCACCUUCUCAGUCUCCCCAAACAGCCACCAACAGGGCAUCAGGUAUUCAAAUGCCGAAGACUUACGGGGUAUAUCUUACUCAAACAACAACAAUGUAUAUGUAUUUGUGUGCGCAUGUGCAUGCGCCUGCUUGAAUUUCUGUGCACCGCAUGUUUGCAGGUACCAGGAGGCCAGACAAGGGCACCAGAUCUCUUAGAACUGCAAUUCAGGUGUUUGUGAGCUGCCGUUUGGCUGCUAGGAAACUGAUUCAGGUCCUCGGUGGAUUCUGGGA
rnacentral:sRNA from 1 species